rnacentral:rRNA from 1 species
GGAUUAGAUACCCUGGUAGUCCACGCCGUAAACGUUGGAUACUAGGUGUGGGAGGUUUUCUACCCCUUCUGUGCCGCAGCUAACGCAUUAAGUAUCCCGCCUGGGGAGUACGACCGCAAGGUUGAAACUCAAAGGAAUUGACGGGGGCCCGCACAAGCGGUGGAGCAUGCGGUUUAAUUCGACAACGCGAAGAACCUUACCCGGGCUUGACAUCACCGUAAGGUACCGUGGCUCCUUGGAAACAGGGAGUCUUAGGGAGACAGGUGUUGCAUGGCUGUCGUCAGCUCGUGCUG